rnacentral:rRNA from 1 species
AACCAUGGGUCCCAGCAGUGCCGAAGGGAAGCCGUGAAGCUGGCCACCUGGGAAGUACGGUCGCAAGGCUGAAACUUAAAGGAAUUGGCGGGGGAGUACCACAACCGGUGGAGCCUGCGGUUUAAUUGGAUACAACGCCGGGAAUCUUACCGGAGGGGACAGCAGUAUGAAGGCCAGGCUAAAGACCUUGCCAGAUCAGCUGAGAGGAGGUGCAUGGCCGUCGCCAGUUCGUACCGUGAGGCAUCCUGUUUAGUCAGGCAACGAUCGAGACCCGCAGUCUUAUUUGCCAGCAUGCCCUUUGGGGUGUAUGGGUACAAUAAGACGACCGCCAGCGCUAAGCUGGAGGAAGGAGCGGGCUACGGUAGGUCAGCAUGCCCCGAAUCCUCCGGGAUACACGCGGGCUACAAUGGUCAGGACAAAAGGUACCGACCUCGAAAGAGUGAGGUAAUCCACAAACCUGAUCUCAGUCCGGAUCGAAGGCUGCAACUCGCCUUCGUGAAGAUGGAUCGGUAGUAAUCGUGACUCAAAAUGUCACGGUGAAUAUGUCCCUGACUCCUUGCACACA